ensembl:lncRNA
UUUUUUUUUUUUUGAGACGGAGUCUCGCUCUGUCGCCCAGGCUGGAGUGCAGUGGCCGGAUCUCAGCUCACUGCAAGCUCCGCCUCCCGGGUUCACGCCAUUCUCCUGCCUCAGCCUCCCGAGUAGCUGGGACUACAAGCCACCCUCGCCCGGCUAGUUUUUUGUAUUUUUUAGUAGAGACGGGGUUUCACCGUGUUAGCCAGGAUAGUCUCGAUCUCCUGACCUCGUGAUCCACCCGUCUCGGCCUCCCAAAGUGCUGGGAUUACAGGCUUGAGCCACCGCGCCCCGCCGAGAAAACACUCUUAACAUAUCAAGGCUCUUAGAUAUGCAGGCUGGCUUAAUUCUAUUCUGGACAAUAGAAGAAUUUGUGGUGGAAUGACAUGUGACCUUGUCCAGUCACUCUACCUCGCCUAAUCUGGGCCUCAGUUUCUUCCUCUCAACUGGACAGAGUCGGCUAGGUCUGUGAGCGUCCUACCUGCUAAUCAUCAGAAUCAGCUGGGGCUGGAGGAUGGCAAGUGAGAGCUUUAAAAAAUACACCUGGGGGCCGGGCGCGGUGGCUUAUCCCCGUAAUCCCAGCACUCUGGGAGGCUGAGGCAGGUGGAUCACGAGGUCAAGAGUUUGAUACCUGCCUGGCCAAUAUAGUGAAACCUUGUCUCUACUAAAAAUACAAAAAUUAGCUGGGUGCGGUAGCACACUGUAAUUCCAGUUACUCGGGAGCACAAGAUUCUUAUGCCAAGGCACAAGAAUCGCUUGAGCCCAGGAGGCAGAGGUUGCAGUGAGCUGAGAUCACACCACUGCAUUCCUGCCUGGGCGACAGCGAGAUUCUGUCUCAAAAAAAAUGCAAACAAAAUACAUGGCCAACCUGUCCUACUAAAUUCCAUUCCUACUAGACCCUAAAACUCUAAUCUCUGAGGGUUGGGGGUCCCAGAGUUCAUAUUUUUAAAAAUAAAUUUUUCAUGUGAUUUGAUGAUCAGGCAGGCUUGGGACCCUCUGGAGUAGACAGAUUACCACUAAGAUCUUUUCCAGAUUUCAUGACCAUCAAAACUGAUGAUUCUAAAAACUCAUCUUGGAAAAUACUGUUGCAUGUCUGGGCGGAAGAAGAACACUGGUAAGGGAAGCAGGAACCUGGAUUCGAGUCCUAGGGCUCCCCUCAAGCUAUGCAGGGGACACUGGAAAAGCCACUUCACUCUGGACCUUAGCGUCUUUAUCCACAAAGUAAAGGCACUGGAGCAGGCAGUGUCAGGGCCCUUCCUCUCACAUUCUGCACCCUAAUUCUGAUUCCUCUGGGAUUCAUUGUUUGCACAUAAAGCACCCUUAGGUGACUGAAUACAGAGACUGGUAAGAGAGGCUGGCUGGGUUCAUCUGCAGUAGCCUACCCAUUCUUCCUGAGGCCCAAGGAGUCUCUUCUGCCUUGUACCCUUGGUGGGUCCCACCCCUCCAGCUCUUUCAGAGGCGCUGAGGGUAUGUUCUGGCCCAGAGCCAGGCACCUCCUCAACCCUCACUUCUUUCCUCCAUUUAGGACUCAACUCAUUCUAGCUUUUCCUGUUCCUCCAAGACAAGAUCUAUGAAAGAUCCCCUGAUACCUUAUCCCCUACAUUCCCAGCCCAGAGAUCCCCUACAUAGUAAAUCCACAAAAGUAUCUGAGAAAUGAAUGAAUGGUUGAGUGAACGAUUGUCAUAUGAGCUUCCUUCCAGCUGCAACAAUCAAUGCCUCUGUCCCUGUCUGUCCUCAGAGGGUUCAUCCUCAGUGAGGUGAAAGAGGACAAAGUCUUGUCAGGUCUACUUACCGCAUAGGACCAUGCAAAGAGUGGGCCGCUUCUGCAAAACGUUGAGCCUCUUAGUUUUACUAACUUCAUAUGAAUGGCAUUAUACCGGAUGUAUUCUCUGUGUCAUGCUGCCUUUUUUUUUCUUUUUUUUAAAUUUCCAGACACGGUUUCACUCUGUUCUCCAGGCUAGAGUGCAGUAGUGCGACCUUGGCUCACUAGAACCUCCGCCUCCCAGGUUCAAGUGAUUCUCAUGCCUCAGCCUCCUGAGUUGCUGGAAUUACAGGUGCGUGCCACCAUGGCCAGCUAAUUUUUCUAUUUUUAGUACAUACCGGGUUUCACCAUUUGGCCAGACUGGUCUCGAACUCCUGCCUCAAGUGAUCUGCAGACCUUGGCCUCCCAAAGUGCCGGGAUUACAGGUGUGAGCCAGUGUGCCCGGCCUGUGUCUUGCUUCUUUCAACCAACAUUACAUUCUAUAUACUUGCUAGGAUGGGGGUUAUUAGCAUUCACUUUUAAUUACUCAUUAAAGUAUAUACAUAUACUUUAUGCAUUUUCAGUAUCUGCACUAUACUUCACAAUAAAAGGAGAAUUGAGGGAGUCCAAGACAAUUACUGUUUGUUUUCAAGAGACAACCUAGAAUGAGUGUUCUCUUUUAGCCAUUUGUAGAAAAAGUGGCUGUGUGUGGUGGUUCACGUCUGUAGUCCCAGCAGUUUGUGAGGAUGAGGCAGGACAGUCACCAGAGCCCAGGUGUUUGAGACCGGCCUGGCCAACACCAUAAAACCCUGUCUCUACAAAAAAUAUAAAAAUUGGCUGGGCAUGCUGGUGAGCAUCUGUAGUUCCAGCUACUUUGGAGGCUGAGGCAGGAUGAUCACCUUACCCUAGGAGGUUGAGGUUUCAGUAAGUCGAGAUCGCACCACUGCACCCCAGCGUAGGCCACAUAGUGAGACCAUGUCUCGAAAAAAACACAAAAAGUGACUUGGAACCUGCAAGAUCUUUACAAAUGGCAAGAACCUUGGGGAAGUUUUUCACAUGGGAACUUUACCCCAGAGCUUGUGUUUUUCUCACUCCUUGGUGAGUAUUCAGUCAACAGAAGCAUUACCCUCACUAUAUGGGUCACAUAUCACAUAAGGCUGUGCCUCACCUACCAAGUGGCCUGACCUGUCUGAACUUCAGUUUCUUCAUAUGGAUAACAAUGAUGUUGCUGGCAUCACGGUGGGGGGUGUGGAGGAUGCCCACAAAAAUAAGGUAUGAGGAUCCGACUUGCCAUACCCUGUGACUGGGUCUAAAUCUGCACGUGUGGCAAGGUAACAGUGUGGAAAAUCGGGGUUAUAGGCUUUGUGUUGAUAAACUUGAGAAAGAGUUGGGGGAAAUCAUUUUCCACUAACAGACCCAGUGCAGCAACACUUCAGUAUUUACCUGCCUAGGCUGCCUCAUGCAUUGCUCUGUGGGGAGUCGGGGUUUAAUGAAGUAGGAUAAACCCCACAUGCACAUUAGUUAGCCUCAGCACAGGCAGGAUUAACUUUACACUCCAUUUGCAAGGGAAAAGCUCCUCUCCUAGAGUUUGUUAUAAAAGGAUUUAGAAUCACAGAUGAUAGAGCUGGAAGAGAGCCCCUAAGACAUCAUCAUCAUUCUAUUCCAUCAUUUUUCAGAAGGUCAAAGAGACCUGCCCAAGAGAGCAGAAGAGACCUGCCCAAGUCACCUACUGAAUUAGCACCGAGCUCAGGUUGGACCCCAGUCUCCAGAUCCCCAGGCCUGCAUCCUCUCCACUUUCUCCUGUACUGCUCAACCACUGCCUUAUAACAAAGGUAGGGUAGCAUAUUUCUCUUUCUGGCUUUGCUCUCUACCCCUUGAUACUCACACCCUCCGUAUUCAGGUUUCAUGGUGUAUGAGCAAGGUUUGCGUGUACUCAACUGAGCUGGCCUCCCUCAUGUCAGUGUAGCUUUGCACUUGGUGUUUCCUUUGUCUUCAUUGGUCUUCCCUCUCUACUCUUUCCAGGGAGACUCUAUUCAGUGUUACCUUCCCCAGGAAUUCUCUGAAUCAUGCCCUCUCCCAUCUUUCUAGACUUUGAGCUCCUCUAGAGUAGGGACUACAUCUUCUUUGUCUUUGUAUCUCACUGCCUAGCAGGGGAAUAGCAUGUGGAAGAUACAGUAAACAUUUGUUGAAUGAACAAAUGACCAGAUGAAAUAAUAAAUAAUUAAACAUACAAAUGAAUGAAUUAAGUCAAAGGCAGAUAGGAGGCAGCAUGGGUCUCAAGCAACCUAGAGCUCUUAACAAAUUGCCAGUUUAGCUCAAGUCCUUCCUUAUGGAGCUCUGGCCUGUUGUAGAUGUUUUCCAUGACUACCAUGGUCCAUGACCCGCCUCCUUGGGAUGGCCUGGACUCUGACCACAUAAUCACUGAGCUGAAUCUACCAUAGCCCUGGGCUUUCAUCUCAGGCCCCAAAUAGACUGGCAAUGAGCCAUCAUUUCUGUCCUUGCCACCAUCUUCAACCAGUUUUCCCAGGGCUGCCUGCACUGGGGGAUACACCUAGGAAAUUUCCACGUGAGAUGUGAAGCCUAUCUCUUCAGGUGACAGCCCUCCUCAGGGUGGAGUGCCAACACAGAUUCCCCAUGCGCAUCUCAAUUCUAGCAACUUGAUUAAAGAAGGCACCUUCAGAUGUCCCUUGUUUAUAUAGACUUCUGAGAGGGAAAGUUAGGAGUGUAUAUAAGUACCAAUACACAUGUAUACGACUGGGAUAGGCAUUGAAGUAGAAGUCAGGAGACUUGGGGUUCAGCCCCAACUUUGUCAGCAUGGCAAAAUGGUUAAGCAUGUGGAUUCUGGAAUUGUACUGCUGGGUUAGAAUCCCAGCUCUAGCACUUACUGGCUGUUAGCCUUGGGGAGGUUACCUAACUGUGGUGUGCUUCAUUUCCCCACCUGUAGAAUGGAGACAAUGAUAUUCUCUGCCUCACGGAGCUGGUGUGAAGAAUACAUGAGGUAGGCUGGGCUCCGUGGCUCACACCUGUAAUCCCAGUGCUUUGAGAGGCCAAGACGAGAGGAUCGUUUGAACCCAGGAGUUUGAGACUACAGUGAGCUAUGGUCAUGCCACUGCACUCCAGUCUGCAUGACAGAGUGAG